GGGUCGAUGGCGUAGUUGGUUAUCGCAUCUGUCUCACAUUAGAAUCAUAGAUUGGUGUGCACACAGGAGGUCCUCAGUUCGAGCCUGGGUCGACUCA